UUGACCUCGGAUCAGGUAGGGAUACCCGCUGAACUUAAGCAUAUCAAAACGGGGGA
rnacentral:rRNA from 1 species